GACAAAGAGAAGAGAGGGACUCACUGAGAAGACAGGAAUGAUGGAGAGACUGAGCAAAGAGGAAGGACUACCUGUCAUGCUACCCAUACAUCUUACUACAACCUGCAGAUCACAGACUGAAACCUCCCUGACUAGAAGGGAAUGAAAAUUUUACUUGUCAAGAAAGUUUUAAUUACCAAGAUUGUUCUGCAGACUCAUUCAGAAAAAAAAGCACAAGAAAAAUCUUGAAAUUGUCUAAAGAGAAAAGGUUCUCAAAAAGCUUAUCAAGAAGAACCUAAAGAGGACACCCACAGAACUUACAUAAGGGCUCCUUGAGAAUGUCAUUUUGGAUCCACAGAGCAAAUAUGUACAGACAAGACACUGUGAUUUCAGUUUUGUGAAGAAAUGGGUGUUCAGAUUGAGCCAAUUAAGGUUUCGCAUGGCUGAGAUAAAAGUUUUGUCAUUAUUGAAUCUAGGAUUUAAAAACAAAGUAAGUGAUAAUGGCUUACUUUUAUAUAAUAAACAGCAUAGGGUUCCCACUAAUUGAGUAAGAAGAGCAAUUAACCUUUUUGUGCAUCAGUGUUCCUGUUUUGAAAUAUUUGUAAAUUAGGUGAUUUGAGUGUUUUAGCUUUAAUACCCUGGUGAAGCAGGUCUGGGUUUUCCAGAAUUCAUGAAAAACUCAUCUACUAAAAUUUUUUGUAAGUUCAGUAGUGCAAGUAUGAGGAAUGUAUGAUGUUAGCCAGCAAAAUAAUGUGCAUAGUCCAUUAGUGUACAUGAGCCAACUAUUAGUGUGGUUUAUACAUGCAUAUGGAUAGUAAAAAGAGAAAAGCCAUUCUAUUUGGUUGGGGCUUUUUUGUUAGAAUAAAAGUAGAUCUUGUAUCUGUCUUCUGUGUUAACCAAAGACAGAGAAAGGUGUAGCUUUGCAGAGAUUUUCAUGCUGAAGCUUUAUCUACUUUAUUGCUUUCUUUUUUUCCCCCCCAAUAUACAACAUUUCUUAUAGGAGUGUAAUUUCUAUGCUAUAGAAGAAAAAAAAGCCCAACUUUGAGAAAAAUAGCCAGAUACAAGCAGAACCAAACUUUGGUCAAGAAAAGACCAUUCUCUUGCAAACCUGCUCUUGUCCAGAAGCUAUAUAGCCUGCUGUACUCUGUCAUGCCAUGCUUUGUUUUUCCAUGGUAAAUAGGCAGAAUGACUAGGAAAAUAUUACAGUGAUAUUUCCUGAUAGCUUAAGGGGACUUUGCACAGGUUAUAUGUCUCAGAAUAGCUCCAUGGAUGAAAGAAAAUGAUUUAAAGCCCAUAGAUUUAAAGGCCAUGGGGGAACAGUUUUAUCCUAAUGCUGGUCUUGAUAUUUCACUUAAAUAUAAUCACUUAGUGCUUGACUCUGAUAGCUAAGGUGACUUUUUUCCCCUCAUUCAACUCAAUGAAAGGGUCCCUCUGGUAUUUUUAUAUUCUCUGACGCUUGAUUCACUGUCUAAGUCACAUGCUAUGGUUUCUCCACUAUCACAUUAUUUAAUUCAAUAUCAUAAUCUACAGUUAUGCAAAGAGAUUUAAGCCUUGCUAUGAGGAUCCAGUUCUGCAAGCUGUGAUGACAACAUAUGCUGGAGGAGUAAACCUGGCCACUUGGGAUUUUGUGGAGAAUACCAAUUCCAAUAGAUGAGUAUGGUCUAAGAGCAUUCUUUUUAAAUUUGUC
ensembl:lncRNA